AGAGUUUGAUCCUGGCUCAGGACGAACGCUGGCGGCGUGCUUAACACAUGCAAGUCGAACGAUGAAGCCCUUCGGGGUGGAUUAGUGGCGAACGGGUGAGUAACACGUGGGCAAUCUGCCCUUCACUCUGGGACAAGCCCUGGAAAUGGGGUCUAAUACCGGAUACGACCUGGGAAGGCAUCUUCCCGGGUGGAAAGCUCCGGCGGUGAAGGAUGAGCCCGCGGCCUAUCAGCUUGUUGGUGGGGUAAUGGCCCACCAAGGCGACGACGGAUAGCCGGCCUGAGAGGGCGACCGGCCACACUGGGACUGAGACACGGCCCAGACUCCUACGGGAGGCAGCAGUGGGGAAUAUUGCACAAUGGGCGAAAGCCUGAUGCAGCGACGCCGCGUGAGGGAUGACGGCCUUCGGGUUGUAAACCUCUUUCAGCAGGGAAGAAGCGAGAGUGACGGUACCUGCAGAAGAAGCGCCGGCUAACUACGUGCCAGCAGCCGCGGUAAUACGUAGGGCGCAAGCGUUGUCCGGAAUUAUUGGGCGUAAAGAGCUCGUAGGCGGCUUGUCACGUCGGAUGUGAAAGCCCGAGGCUUAACCUCGGGUCUGCAUUCGAUACGGGCUAGCUAGAGUGUGGUAGGGGAGAUCGGAAUUCCUGGUGUAGCGGUGAAAUGCGCAGAUAUCAGGAGGAACACCGGUGGCGAAGGCGGAUCUCUGGGCCAUUACUGACGCUGAGGAGCGAAAGCGUGGGGAGCGAACAGGAUUAGAUACCCCCGUAGUCC
rnacentral:rRNA from 1 species